rnacentral:rRNA from 1 species
GACGAACGCUGGCGGCGUGCUUAACACAUGCAAGUCGAACGGAAAGGCCCUGCUUUUGUGGGGUGCUCGAGUGGCGAACGGGUGAGUAACACGUGAGUAACCUGCCCUUGACUUUGGGAUAACUUCAGGAAAAUGGGGCUAAUACCGGAUAGGAGCUCCUGCUGCAUGGGGGGGGUUGGAAAGUUUCGGCGGUUGGGGAUGGACUCGCGGCUUAUCAGCUUGUUGGUGGGGUAGUGGCUUACCAAGGCUUUGACGGGUAGCCGGCCUGGGAGGGUGACCGGCCACAUUGGGACUGAGAUACGGCCCAGACUCCUACGGGAGGCAGCAGUGGGGAAUAUUGCACAAUGGGCGGAAGCCUGAUGCAGCAACGCCGCGUGCGGGAUGACGGCCUUCGGGUUGUAAACCGCUUUCGCCUGUGACGAAGCGUGAGUGACGGUAAUGGGUAAAGAAGCACCGGCUAACUACGUG